CUGGAAGCUGAGCAUUAAAGUGACUUCCCUGUUGCUGAGCAGAGGUUAAUCCACACUGGUUCCUGUCCCUGUUUCAAAUGUUGCUCUAUUUACAGUUGCUGUCACUCUGUUUAUUGCCCGGAGGCCGGGGGGAUUUCUCUCCUCCGCGUUUCAAUGUGAGUUUAGAGAUGCCGCCUUACCAGCGUUGGGAGCCGGUGCUGAGACAUUACGAUGCGACGCAGUUACGGCGGAUCGUGCACCAGGUUAUCGGUUCUGUUGCCCCCAAGUGGGUGAUUCCCAUUGUUGAACAGCUAGCAACCCAACUAGGCCACAUGUUACCACAACCCUACGAAGCAGAAAUUCAAGGAAUAAGUAAAGCCCUAGGUAUAAGCCUUGGAGAUGGACUUCUUAUCAAUCUUGUUUAUGAAAUUUCUGGCUUUUGCACUAGCAUUGUUGCUCAAGAUUCAAGAGGAAAUAUUUACCACGGUAGAAAUUUGGAUUUUGAAUUCAGCAAUAUUUUAAGAUCUCUCACAGUUGACCUACAAUUUGUUAAGAAUGGUCAGAUCAUCUACAAAGGGACGACAUUCGUUGGCUUUGUCGGUUUAUGGACUGGGCAAAGUCCAAACAAGUUUACCAUUUCAGGGAAUGCAAGAGCUAGAGGAGAAUGGUGGAAAAUUAUAAUCGCCGCUCUUUUGAAAAGAAAUCUUCCUCCUAGCUGGCUUAUUAGAGAUACCCUUGUAGAAGCUGUGGAUUUUCAAGCAGCUUUGAUGAAGUUGGCCAAUUCCCCAAUCACUGCAAAUGUAUACUACAUUUUAGGUGGAGUUAAACCAACUGAAGGCGUGAUUAUAACAAGAAAUCUGAAUGGACCUGUUGACAUCUGGCCUUUGAUGCCUAAGAAAGGACAGUGGUACAGAGUGGAGACAAACUAUGAUCACUGGAAAGCCCCACCCUCAUCCGAUGACCGAAGAACACCAGCUAACCACGCUCUCAAUGCUACAGGACAAAAUGACAUCAACCUACGUGCACUGUUUAAGGUUCUCUCUAUUAAACCAGUAUUAAAUGACUGCAACAGUAUCACACGUGGCAGGAGAGUGGAAUUAGUGCGUUUGACUAUCUAUACUACAAUAAUGUGUGCUGCUCAACCAUAUGACUACAGGACUUUAGUUCGGACCUAAAACAGAACACUUUGGAAGUUGGCCAAGGGUAACAGUCAAAAAAUUUAUACUGCUGCACUGAAGUAGAAGCCAAAGCAAUCAAAGAAUACUGGAGUGCUACUUUUCAGUUUUUCCACUUGGCAUGAUGCUCCUUUACAAAUGUUGUGGAAAGUUAACACACUGAAUGCUACCUGCCAAUGGACACAGCUUUAUCAGCCAAUGCACUCAAGACCACACUGACCUUGUUCAAGUGUAUGGUUUGUGAAGCAAAGACCACCUUCAGAAGAUAGUCUUGUACUGCUUUGGCUCUGGCUGCCAUGUAAUUGCAAUGGUUGAAAAGCAAGAAUGGCGGCGGACAAGCUGGCAACUAACAGGAGGAGAAGGCACCACGAACAUGCCUAUCCCCAGUUAUGGUGAUGCCCAGCACGUGCAACAAGUGCAGAGGGGAUACCUUUACUUUCUGUUCUCCUGGGAUUCCCACCAUUAUAGAUUCCACCACAUGGCCAGUUUGGUUCAUUUCAUGUGACAUUAAGACACUGUUGAAUGCAUUGGACACAACAAAGGCUGUCAGCUCUAAUAUCAUCAUAGCUGUAAUGUUGAAGACUGCUGCACCAGAGUCACCCAAUCUUCUUGCCAGGCUUCUCUAGCUAUGACAGUGGUAUUUACCUGACAAUAUAGAAGAUUGCCCAGAAACAUGCCGUCCACAAAAGAAAAUCAGGAAAACGAAUCAUGCUGAUAGCUGCCCUAUCUGCCUUCUCGCAAUCAUUAGUAAAAUAAGGGAAGGAGUCAUCAAUAAUGGCAUCAAGCAACAUCUAAUUACCAAUAACAGGUUUUGCCAGAACCAACUGGCUACAGAACUCAUUGCAGCCUUGAUUGAGAUAUGGACAUUUGAACUGAAUGCCAGGGGAAAGAUGCAGAUGGCUACUCUCGACACCAAGGCACAUUUGACCAAGGGUGGCAGCAAAGAUUUCGAGCAAAACCGGGGUCAAGGGGGCAAAUGGGAAAAGCCUGAGGUAGUUGGAGUCAUAGCUGACAUGAAGGAAGAAAGAUAGUUGUGAUUGUCAAACAGAAAUCAUUGCAGGCUCAGGAGUUCCUCAGGAAAACAUCCAUAGCCCAAUAUCUUCAGCUGCUUCACUAAUGAUCCUCCCUCCAUCAUGAGGUCAAGAGAGGGAUUGUUUGUGAUGAUUCCAGAGUUCUCAGAGGGUUGAAGCAGCCAAAGGCAGUCCUACAAAAUGCAAGUAAUGACCAUCUCAAAUAAGAGAAACCUGUGCCCUUUUACAAUUUUUUUUGUAUUCUAUUUAUUAAACCUUUCAAAUACUAAGCGAGGA